GGGGAGCAAAAAGGCUCUGCGGAGUCGUAUUGAGAGUACCCGAAGAAAAAGCAUCGGCUAACUCCGUGCCAGCAGCCGCGGUAAUACGGAGGAUGCGAGCGUUAUCCGGAUUUAUUGGGUUUAAAGGGUGCGCAGGCGGCGUGUCAAGCAAGCGGUAAAAUAGCGGGGCUCAACCCCGUCGAGCCGUUUGAACUGGCGCGCUUGAGUUCAGGCGAGGUAGGCGGAAUUCGUGGUGUAGCGGUGAAAUGCAUAGAUAUCACGAAGAACUCCGAUUGCGAAGGCAGCUUACCAGUCUGCGACUGACGCUCAGGCACGAAAGUGUGGGUAUCGAACAGGAUUAGAUACCCUGGUAGUCCACACAGUAAACGAUGAGCGCUAGGUGUCCGGGUCGCAUGA
rnacentral:rRNA from 1 species